rnacentral:rRNA from 1 species
AUACGUAGGGGGCGAGCGUUGUCCGGAAUGAUUGGGCGUAAAGGGCGCGUAGGCGGCCCGGUAAGUCUGGAGUGAAAGUCCUGCUUUUAAGGUGGGAAUUGCUUUGGAUACUGUCGGGCUUGAGUGCAGGAGAGGUAAGUGGAAUUCCCAGUGUAGCGGUGAAAUGCGUAGAGAUUGGGAGGAACACCAGUGGCGAAGGCGACUUACUGGACUGUAACUGACGCUGAGGCGCGAAAGUGUGGGGAGCAAACAGGAUUAGAUACCCUGGUAGUCCACACGGUAAACGAUGAAUGCUAGGUGUAGGGGGUAUCGACCCCUUCUGUGCCGCAGUUAACACAAUAAGCAUUCCGCCUGGGGAGUACGGCCGCAAGGUUGAAACUCAAAUGAAUUGGCGGGG